CUUUCAAUCUUUCUUUUUUCCUGGACUUGUAGUUCCCAUCACAUUGGAAGCUGCCAAGGUUCCCAUAGUGAUAAGGUCCACAUCUUGUUCCUGUGCUGCAGGGAGAGCCCUUUGGAACCACUUGGUGGGGCUUCUUUAUCUAAGUGCCCGUUUCAGCACCUCGAACUACAAGAUUGUGCCAUUACAUGUGUCUUGCACUGACAGACUGCAGACCUGGCACAGGCCUCGGACCCAGGGCCCCUUCCUGACCCGGGUGUGAUGUCUGUUGGAGAGAAAUUGAAAGACAUUCAGCCACAGCUGGGGAUCUGUAAGAUUCUUCAUGGACUUGAGGAACUCACCAUGGUGGAGUCCAAAUUUGGUCUUGUGCCCUUUGGAUCAGUUCUAUCAUACCAGUGCCCCCUAGAGAGCGUGCCCUGGUGGGGAAAGUGGA